rnacentral:lncRNA from 10 species
CCAGGGCUAAACUUAGAGGGAAGCUGUCAUCACCCUAGGGCCUGAGGAGGAAGGGGAGAAAAUACUGUUUGGGGGGCCUGGUGGGAGCUGUAGCUGGGAGGAGGACCAUGAGGGAGAAACCAUAGUCAUGGAAGGAUGUUGUCACUGCCAGGACCAAGACACCAAGACUGUGUGCUAGGCACUGAGUUAGAGUUGAAGACCCUCAAGAAUUCCACUGACAACUGAAUCAUCAAAGGGAACCGAGCCCUGCCCAAGGACAUACAGUUGUUUUCCUCUUCCUUGUCCUUUGGAGAAGCACAGCUGAAGCUUCCUGCCCACACCCCAGCCCCUCCUCCUUGAGCAUGAAUGUGCAGACCACCCACCGCCCCAUGCUUGUAUCUACAACAGCUAUGAGGAAGAACAUACAGAUUAAUCACCCUGCUGCGGGAUGCCAGCUACCCAGUGGCUCUGGCAGCCCCAGUCAAUGGAUCCUGCAGUGUAGCCUUCAUCAGUAGAGCUGCCACUGCCAGCACCCAAAAGGUAGCACUAAUAUGCAUGUGUGACCUGAAAAUUACAAUGUAAAUGGUGGGGCAACACAUGUAUAGGAAGGUAAAUUUUAAUUAAAAGUCUGUUCUCCAACUCA